UACAGAGGUCCCGAGCGUUGUUCGGAUUCACUGGGCGUAAAGGGUGCGCAGGUGGUUUGGCAAGUUUGAUGUGAAAGCCCCGGGCUUAACCCGGGAAUGGCAUUGAAUACUGCUUGAACUGGAGGGUCGGAGGGGGGACUGGAAUUCUUGGUGUAGCAGUGAAAUGCGUAGAUAUCAAGAGGAACACCAGUGGCGAAGGCGAGUCCCUGGACGAUAACUGACACUGAGGCACGAAAGCCAAGGGAGCAAACAGG
rnacentral:rRNA from 1 species